rnacentral:rRNA from 1 species
GUGAACGCUGGCGGUAGGCCUAACACAUGCCAGUCGCACGGCAGCACAGUAAGAGCUUGCUCUUACGGGUGGCGAGUGGCGGACGGGUGAGGAAUACAUCGGAAUCUACUUUUUCGUGGGGGAUAACGUAGGGAAACUUACGCUAAUACCGCAUACGACCUACGGGUGAAAGCAGGGGAUCUUCGGACCUUGCGCGAUUGAAUGAGCCGAUGUCGGAUUAGCUAGUUGGCGGGGUAAAGGCCCACCAAGGCGACGAUCCGUAGCUGGUCUGAGAGGAUGAUCAGCCACACUGGAACUGAGACACGGUCCAGACUCCUACGGGAGGCAGCAGUGGGGAAUAUUGGACAAUGGGCGCAAGCCUGAUCCAGCCAUACCGCGUGGGUGAAGAAGGCCUUCGGGUUGUAAAGCCCUUUUGUUGGGAAAGAAAAGCAGCAGGUUAAUACCCCGCUGUUCUGACGGUACCCAAAGAAUAAGCACCGGCUAACUUCGUG